rnacentral:rRNA from 1 species
UACAGAGGUCUCAAGCGUUGUUCGGAUUCAUUGGGCGUAAAGGGUUCGUAGGCGGUGCGGCAAGUUGGGAGUGAAAUCUCUGGGCUUAACCCAGAGGCUGCUCUCAAAACUGCUGUGCUUGAGUGUGAGAGAGGCUCGUGGAAUUGCAGGUGUAGCGGUGAAAUGCGUAGAUAUCUGCAGGAACACCCGUGGCGAAAGCGGCGAGCUGGAUCACUACUGACGCUGAGGAACGAAAGCUAGGGGAGCAAACAGG